GUGAAAGAGUAAAAAGACGACUUUCUUAAAACCAUUUUAUUGACCCAUGUACAGAAAGUGCAGCAGCGACCACAAAAAAGUCGGAUUUUGUGUUGAUGACGAGCCAAGGAAAUGAAUUGCAGAUGUGAACAUUCAGGAAGAAAGAUUUUGUGUUGAUGACGAGCCAAGGAAAUGAAUUGCAGAUGUGAACAUUCAGGAAGAAAGUAAGUCAGAUGCGUUUGGAACAACAGAAAUGUGAAAAUUAACAAAAAAAAUGUAUUUAGACUUGUUCCUCAUCUUUAAAAAGCACAAAUUGAGGCUUACAAAUAACUGGGGCCAAUUUUUGAAGAUUUAUGUAAAGCUUACAUUAAAAAAAUAUACAUU